CCUACGGGAGGCAGCAGUGGGGAAUUUUGGACAAUGGGCGCAAGCCUGAUCCAGCAAUGCCGCGUGAGUGAAGAAGGCCUUCGGGUUGUAAAGCUCUUUUGUCAGGGAAGAAACGGUGGGGGCUAAUAUCUCCUACUAAUGACGGUACCUGAAGAAUAAGCACCGGCUAACUACGUGCCAGCAGCCGCGGUAAUACGUAGGGUGCAAGCGUUAAUCGGAAUUACUGGGCGUAAAGCGUGCGCAGGCGGUUUUGUAAGUCUGUCGUGAAAGCCCCGGGCUCAACCUGGGAAUUGCGAUGGAGACUGCAAGGCUUGAAUCUGGCAGAGGGGGGUAGAAUUCCACGUGUAGCAGUGAAAUGCGUAGAGAUGUGGAGGAACACCGAUGGCGAAGGCAGCCCCCUGGGUCAAGAUUGACGCUCAUGCACGAAAGCGUGGGGAGCAAACAGGAUUAGAUACCCUGGUAGUCCACGCCCUAAACGAUGUCUACUAGUUGUCGGGUUUUAAUUAACUUGGUAACGCAGCUAACGCGUGAAGUAGACCGCCUGGGGAGUACGGUCGCAAGNUUAAAACUCAAAGGAAUUGACGG
rnacentral:rRNA from 1 species